UUAAUUAAAUUUAUAUUUAUUAUAUUACACGAAGCUAAAGGAGCUAGUUUUUUAAUUUAUUAGAUACAGAGGUGUUGCAUAACUUUUAAAGAUUUAAAAUUAGGAGUGAUAGGCUUUACACAUUUAGUGAUAACUUGAUUACUAAUAAAGGUAUUAGUACAGAAACAUUUUGGAAAUGAUAAGGUUUUCAAAUAGAAUUAAUUAGAAUGGAGAAUAUAUAUAUAUAGUUUAAUCACUAAUGUAAUAAUAUAAUAUAAUUACACUUUAUAAAUUAUUUAACUUACUAGUAAAUGUUUAAAUUGUCAAGGCCAAAUAUAAUGUUAAUAUUAGUAUCAAUUAAAUAUUAUUAAUGAACUCGGCAAGAAGUCCUUUAACUGUUUAUCAAAAACAUAGCCGUAUGUAUAAAUAUACGGUGAUUUCUGCUCCAUGAAGUUUAAAUAGCCGCAGUACCCUGACUGUGCAAAGGUAGCGCAAUCAAUUGGCUUUUAAUUGAAGUCCUGUAUGAAAGAAAAUAUAAGGGGCUACUUUAUCUAUAAUAAUUUUUGAAUUUCCUAAUUAAGUGCAAAUACUUAUAUUUAAAUAAUAGACGAGAAGACCCUAGAAAUUUUAAGAAUAAUUCUUUUUGUUGGGGCAACAAAGUAGUAAAAUAUAAUCUACUAUUGUUACAUGAAAGAUAUAACUUGGAAGAUUAAAUUACUCUAGGGAUAACAGCAUAAUCAAUGAAAGUUUGUGACCUCGAUGUUGGACUAGGGAAUUAACAUUUAGAAG
rnacentral:rRNA from 1 species